AUACAUGCAAGUCGAGCGAACUGAUUAGAAGCUUGCUUCUAUGACGUUAGCGGCGGACGGGUGAGUAACACGUGGGCAACCUGCCUGUAAGACUGGGAUAACUUCGGGAAACCGAAGCUAAUACCGGAUAGGAUCUUCUCCUUCAUGGGAGAUGAUUGAAAGAUGGUUUCGGCUAUCACUUACAGAUGGGCCCGCGGUGCAUUAGCUAGUUGGUGAGGUAACGGCUCACCAAGGCAACGAUGCAUAGCCGACCUGAGAGGGUGAUCGGCCACACUGGGACUGAGACACGGCCCCAGACUCCUACGGGAGGCAGCAGUAGGGAAUCUUCCGCAAUGGACGAAAGUCUGACGGAGCAACGCCGCGUGAGUGAUGAAGGCUUUCGGGUCGUAAAACUCUGUUGUUAGGGAAGAACAAGUACAAGAGUAACUGCUUGUACCUUGACGGUACCUAACCAGAAAGCCACGGCUAACUACGUGCCAGCAGCCGCGGUAAUACGUAGGUGGCAAGCGUUAUCCGGAAUUAUUGGGCGUAAAGCGCGCGCAGGCGGUUUCUUAAGUCUGAUGUGAAAGCCCACGGCUCAACCGUGGAGGGUCAUUGGAAACUGGGGAACUUGAGUGCAGAAGAGAAAAGCGGAAUUCCACGUGUAGCGGUGAAAUGCGUAGAGAUGUGGAGGAACACCAGUGGCGAAGGCGGCUUUUUGGUCUGUAACUGACGCUGAGGCGCGAAAGCGUGGGGAGCAAACAGGAUUAGAUACCCUGGUAGUCCACGCCGUAAACGAUGAGUGCUAAGUGUUAGAGGGUUUCCGCCCUUUAGUGCUGCAGCUAACGCAUUAAGCACUCCGCCUGGGGAGUACGGUCGCAAGACUGAAACUCAAAGGAAUUGACGGGGGCCCGCACAAGCGGUGGAGCAUGUGGUUUAAUUCGAAGCAACGCGAAGAACCUUACCAGGUCUUGACAUCCUCUGACAACUCUAGAGAUAGAGCGUUCCCCUUCGGGGGACAGAGUGACAGGUGGUGCAUGGUUGUCGUCAGCUCGUGUCGUGAGAUGUUGGGUUAAGUCCCGCAACGAGCGCAACCCUUGAUCUUAGUUGCCAGCAUUUAGUUGGGCACUCUAAGGUGACUGCCGGUGACAAACCGGAGGAAGGUGGGGAUGACGUCAAAUCAUCAUGCCCCCUUAUGACCUGGGCUACACACGUGCUACAAUGGGAUGGGUACAAAGGGCUGCAAGACCGCGAGGUCAAGCCAAUCCCAUAAAACCAUUCUCAGUUCGGAUUGUAGGCUGCAACUCGCCUACAUGAAGCUGGAAUCGCUAGUAAUCGCGGAUCAGCAUGCCGCGGUGAAUACGUUCCCCGGGCCUUGUACACACCGCCCGUCACACCACGAGAGUUUGUAACACCCGAAGUCGGUGGAGUAACCGUAAGGAGCUAGCCGCCU
rnacentral:rRNA from 1 species